CCAUGAGCUAUUGAGAAACCUGUCUAUUCCAUAGUUGUUGGAUGGAAUAUUUUGCAGACAUCUAUUAAUUCUACUGGAUCUAUAGUAUAGAUAUUUUGUUUGGGUGACCUAUAAGGAAUAAUUAAACAAUUCAAUGGGUUUAAAUAAAAAUAUUUAUUAAAUUAAAACACAUAUUGCCAUUAAUUCCCUUCACAUUUUCCUUCACAUUAAACAUACUUAUCCCAUUGUUCUUGCCAGUUUCUGAAACAGUUCUGAAAGUCCUCUUUUGUGAGUGUCUUCAUAAGAUGUGAUCCAGAACAUGAUGACUACUGCUACCAAGUGCUAUCCAAGAGAAAAGAGGAAGCCCAGGUAAGAGGGCGCCUCCACGAGGACUGUAGCACCUGGAUGAAGACUGUGGCACCUGUAUGUGGACUGUGGCACCUGGAUGAAGACUGUGGCACCUGAAACUUCUGCUCUCGUAAGACAGAGAGGUCAGAGAAGUAAAGGUAACUCCUGCGGCUGCAGCUGUUGGUCACAGGAGUGGGUGGGAAACCUGGCUCAUCCUGAAUCACUUACCAGAAGCCCCUCACAAGUGACCAGAAUCUGAGGUUAUUUCUUUGAAAAGUCAACCUCCUUUCGCAUUUUGAGGUGGGCCAGGGAAGCCAGUUUUAUUUUCCUUCUACCCCCAUUUCCCCCACUCCCCACCCUAAGCACCCGAAGAUGAAGACUUGGCCCUGAAGUCUGCUGUGGUGAAACUCCUGAUAUCCUGCUCCAUGUCAAAGCAGAGUACAUCUCUGGGCAGUGGGAGAAAGAGGCUCAGGGGUCUGGGAUGGGCUGUCCCUGCAUCCUGUGUGCAAAGGGAGCUUGAAGAGAUGGCAGUGCAUGCAGUGAACAAACUGUACAACCACUAGCUGUCUGGUUUGCAACUCCCACCCAAAAGCCUAAGAGAGCCCAGACCCGGAUGUGGUAGUUUCCUGUUUGUCAUUUCUCACAACUUCACAGAGAACAGCAGUUUCUUUUUCCUCAACCAGAUAAAGAUCACAUCUAUCUAAAAAUUGAAGAAAAAUAAUUUAGGAAAAAGAAAGUUGCGUCUUUAAACAUUGUUUUCACCUACAACGUUUAACAGCAUUUUAAAUCCAAGAAGAGAAGCACGAUUUACAACAGGGUAAAAGUAAGAGUUCACGUUAGACACAUGGCAGGCGGGCGGAGAGGAGCAGUUGUACAUGCACAGUGUCUCUCUUUGUGUUUUGGUUCUUUUAGUCCAUAUUGAUUUUCAUCUUUAUGCUUAGUUUUUUGCAUUCUUGCACAAGAAGGCUGCUGCUACUCCAGAUAUAUCUGAUUUCUAUCAGGAAAAAGCAAGAUAGGUCAGGAGAGACCUCAUCCAGAAAGUGAAACAAAUAAAGAAAUAAAAUAGCAGAAUAACAAGGUCAUGAAUUUGAUCCUUGGUAUAAUAAAAUAAAAUAAAAUAAAAUAAAAUUCUAUCUUCGUGUUCCAUUUACUUCGCAUUAGUCAGAACUAGUGAAAAAUAUUCACAUUCCUCUCUCCCAAAAUUUUGAAUUUUCCUAGCAAAAAGGCCGUGAGUACCUCUUAUAAUUUGUAGAACUGUCACAUAGCCCAUCAAUAUUUUAAUCUUUUCUAUUCAUUCAGUCUUCCUUUAUAUUUCAUGUUUUUUAUUAUUUUAAUUUGCAGCUAUUUUACCUAUUUUAUAGAAACCCUAUAAUUUUGUUGUUAUUAUGUUGUAUUUUAAAAAUACAUAUUCUACUUGGCUGUUCUACAGGAGUUGAUUUGUGUAUGGAUCUCGUUGAACAUCAUUACUUCCAAUAGUUUGAGGCUUCUCUUGGGUUGUCCAUGUAGAGGUGAGGGUUAACCUGUGAAAAUUCACUAUUUUGUUUCAUUUUGUCGUUCUUCACAAUAUUUACUCCUUUUAAAAAUUUUUCUUAAGUUUAUUGGUACAUUUUAACAUACAUAAUGAUCACAUUCAUCCUAGAGUAUUUGCGCCUGCACCUGAUGUAAGUUGAGGUUUUUUCCUACUCCUCUACCCUCCCUUCAACCCCUCUUCCCCGCCUUCUUUACAAAAGCUUCAUUGCCAUUUUCCUUCUUUCCUCAUCUUUUUUUCUUUUUCCUUCCUUCCUUUCUCCUUCUUCCAUCCAUAGGGGACAUGUGCAUCCUACUUCAUAAUAUCUAGUAUAUAUUUUGGUCCUUAUUUACAUUUUCAGUGUAACAGAGAAACAGUGUAGUAUUACACAUGGGCAUCUGAUUUAUUUCACUUGAGUAGGGUACUCCCUUUUUAAAAAGUUGAUAAAUAUUCAAUACAGUGUUGAUUUAAAAGAAUACUAGACAAGUAAGUUCAUUUCAUUAAGACACUUGCUGUUUUUCUUUCUUCUUUGUUGUGGUUGUGGGGUAGUUUGCUUUAGGAUGUAGCUGUGAGAUGAAUAGAAGUGGUAGGGCUGUCAAGAUACUGAGAAGCAGCCACAGGGACCCAGUAAUCAGCUGAAUUGGGAAGUAAUGAAAAGGGAGGAAAGAGUCUCAAAAAGGAUGAUUAUUUUUACAUAAUUACAGGAUGAUAGAAAAGUUACACGAAUAGUACCAUUGGAUUUCUGAAUAACCUCUACCAAGUUUUCAAUUUCAAAAUUUUCUCCCUCUUCUCUCUUUCUUUUUCUCCUUUUUUCUUUCUCUUUCUCUUCUUUCAGUUUCUCUUUAUUUUAUUUAAAAGUAAUUUCCAGGAAAGGAUCCUUUUUCAAAACCCAGUAUCAUUGUUAAAAUCAGAAAUCAAUAUUACUAUGGUGUUAUUAUAUAAUCUUUACAACUUAUUUAUAUUUCUCUGCUUUUUGUUCCAAUAAUUUUCCCUAUGCGUGUUGCAAGUAAAAAUUCAAGAGCACACAUUGCAUUGCAUGAUUUUUUCUCUAGUUUCCUUUAAUCAGGAAGAGUUUCUGCAUCUUUAUAUUUGAUGGCUGGAGUGUUGUAAAGAGUGUAGGUCAGUGGCUUUGUAGACUGGCCCUCAGCCUGCUGGGUUGCAUGACUCCUCCAGCUCAGACCCAGAUAAUGGGGGUGGAUGCUGUGGGUGGAUCUAAGACCUUUGCGAAGCAUAGCAGGAGCUCAUGCUGUGGCCUCAUCACUGGCCAUGUUUCCUUUACCUUUACUACCUGCAUAAGGUUAUACUUGCCAGGAUUCUCCAGUAAAAUAGCAAAGUCAUUGUGGACAAAUAUUUUACUAUUGUGUAAUAUCCUGUUUCUCCUCAAAUAUCUUUUAUUGAUGACAAUGGUUUAUUUCUUUAAAAAAUUAUAGUGUGGAGACUAACCAAUGAUGAUUUUCAAAUUCAACAUUUAUUAUUAGUCGAAUUUCUUGUGUAACAAAUAAAAAGACUUAUCUUUUUACUUAUUUAUACAUUAACUGGGUUCUGCCAGUAGACACUUGUGAAUUCUUACUUUAAUAGUUUACAGUCAUUUACUGACACUUUGAUCCCUGAAAUUGCCCUAUACUUGAGGAUGUAGUUGAUGCAUUGUCUAAGUGUCUAAGUCUAAUAACUGAGGUAGGACAGAGGCUGUAAUUAACUGAAAUGAGAAACUAUGGAAGAGGAGAGAAAAGUUGUUCACAUUUCUUUACUCUGUGUUGGAGACCACUAUGAAGUGGCUCUGAGCAGAAUUUAAAUCUUACUUAUUGGCUUUGUAUGUUUAUCUGUGAGUGUGUCCUAGGCCGAGGUCCCUUGCCUAGCAACGGGAGCUGAUUUAUAGUAAGUGAACCUCUAUGACUCACUGGUCCUGGCUGAGGCCUGUAGUGGCCUGUGAGGCCAGAGAUACCUCAAAGGGCAAGAUGAGGCCACAGCUGCGUAUACUCUGGCUCCAACCCAAAUUAACAGGGUAGAGACUGCAGAUGUAAAUAUUACUCCUACAAUUUCACUUCUACCAUGCCUUCAUGAUAAAACAGUGCUACUGAAUUGACUUGAUGCAUGACUUGGAGACGUCCUUGAAGUGACUCCCAAGGUCCUGCUCAUUGCCUGCACUUUCCUCAGUUUCUCUGCCCCUUGUCCUUGGUCCUAAUAUAAGUGGACUGAUCCGGAGAAUCCUUUGUCUUUACUCUCGAAAUCUCGAGCUUAAUUAAAAGGGUUUUGACCCUCCUGGAGCUCUAAAAAUCAUACAAUUUGUCUCUUUUUAUUUAACUUCCACCAUACAUUCAUUUGGGAGAUUGGGGAUCUAGGACAAAACCCGAUACUCUGCGUUCUUUGAUUACCAGUCGCUCUAUGUUAUUUACUUAUAUUUGUGUCCUUUUGUGCAUUAUUUUACACACCUUGUCUCCAUAUUUUUUUAUUAAUAUAAGCCCUUUGGUAAAGAUAUUAACAUUCUGUUGACCUAAUGGUACAAAUUGCUUAUUGACAGGAUACCAUGAACUUUACUAACAAUAUCUUAUUGAUUUUGCAACUCUUAUAAGAGACCUCUGACUUAAUACUUUCAUAAUUUUUAUUUCAAAGGCGAGAAGGCAGUGGAGCUUAGAAACGUUGUUCCAAAUCACGGGCGAGCAAGUAAAGAAAGCCAGGAUUGAGAUCCAAAUCUUUGUGAUACUAAACUGUCUAAUCCUCAUUUACAAUUUGAUUUCAGUUUUUAUUGUUUAAAAAGUACUGGGAAAAGAAAUAUAAUCCCCAGAGCCCUUUAAAAGUUGAAAUCAUAAGGUGAUUUAUUGUAAUCACAUCUUCAAUUCAUACUUCCUGUAUCUAGUAAGUUACAUCGAAUGUGCCCUGUGAUACGUGGCUUCGCAGCGCACUGGGACUCUGAGUCAUGACUGCGAGGAAGGGGAAGCCUCCCGUGAAGGGGUGUCGGGGAUAAUGUCUCAUCUAUCAGGCCUCUGACAAGUUCAUGCAGCAGUCACCUUUCUCCACAGUUUAUUUUCCAUGGUUUUGAUUAUUGUCUGCCAAUCACAAUGUAAAAACAUCAGAUAAAAAAGCAAUAAAUAAUUCGUAAGUUUUAAAUAACAUUAUGGCAUAGUGUCAUUCAUUUUCUAUUUUAUUAUGUUCUCACUCUCUUACUAUGCCCAAUUUAUAAAUCAAACUUUAAUGCAGGUGUGUCUGGGAGACAAUGGCAUUUGUGGCGUUGGUGCUGUCUGUGGUCCCCACUCUACAGGACGUCUGGGAAUGUGACCUGCUGAGGGACGAGGAGGAAGGGCAUGGCGCGCCAGUGUGCCCAGUGCAGGCAGAGAGAACCAGAAGAUCUACCUCAGCCUGCUGGACACCACCACCAGAAGACUCAUUUUUCUGCAUGCCCAGCGCGAACCAAGGGGGACAGAUGGAUACACUUCUGCCUUUUGUGUGCUGCCGCAAAAAGGCCACAUCCUGCAGGUGGCCAGCAUGGGCAGAGAGAACCAGCAGAUCUGCCUUCACCUUCAGGGAGCUGCCACCUGAAGUCUUCUUCCUACAGGCAGCCAACAGGAGCAGGUAAGAGCUGUGCAUCUGUAGGCCACCACUGGAGGCCCUUGGUUCCUUCCAGCAGUCAUCAUCCACUAACAGAAUCAGCCAAACACACUCCUGUGUGUCUGCCACCAUUGUGGGAAUUCCAAUAUAGACAUAACAGGCUGAGAGAAACAGCCCAACCUCCAUGCACUCCUGAUCAUCAGAGAAGUCCCAGUGUGGCUGCACAGGUCUGGAGAAGCCCAGUCCAUUCCUUGCUACCUCCCUGUAAAUCUAGAGUUAGAGGAACCCAUGUGCCUGUCCAAUCCCUCCACAAUGCAUAAGGACAGCUAAUGUGGGAAGUACCUGGGGCCCCAUAACCAGCUCCUUGGGAGGAACCCAGGAGAAUGUCAAGAUGAAGGAGCAAAAGGAAAACUCAGACCUCUAGACCUCUAUCUCCCAGAAUAAGCCUGGGAGAUACAGUUAUGGAAGAGAACAUAAGUCACACACAUGAAAUCUCUGAGAGGAUAGCAACUGAAGUUAGGAAACAGCUUCAUGAGAUUGUAAAAUCAGUCAAAUCAGAAAUAAUGUCUCGGGUAAAAGAAGAAAUCACAAACAUACUGAAAGAAUUGUUCAACAAGUCUAACGAAGACAUAGACAAAAAACGAGGAGCAUAGGAAAAUGAUGGAAACCUUGAGUGAAUGUAGAAAGGGAUUACAGUGCAUGAAACAGAUUCAAAAAGAGGUGCAGGAAAUUAAAAAUUCAGUUGGAAGCUGGUAAAACCACUUGAAGAGACUAAAGAUAAGACUUUAGACCUUGAAGAUAGUAUUACAGCUAGUGAUCCUGAAAGGAAAGAUCUCUUAAAAAUUACAUGAAAUCAGGAAAUAACAACUCAAAAGCUUCAAAAUGAUGCAAAGAAGCAAAAUUUUAAGACUCAUAGGUGUUGGUGAAGAAGCAGGGGUCAACACAAAUGAAAUUAAAAGGAUAUUCACAGAAGUAAUAGAAGAAAACUUUCCAAACAUGGGAAAUGGAUCUGGCAUGCAGAUAAUGAGGCAUAUAGCAGUUCAACUAUCCAUAACCAAAGUAAAUCUACAGCCAGACAUAUAGUAAUCAAGAUUCCAGAAACUCAACACAAGAACAGAAUAGUAAAUCUGUUAGAGAAAAGAGACAGAUCGCCUAUAAUGGAGAAUCAAUCAAAAUCACAACAGACUUAGCAACACAAACCAUCAAGACAGUAAGAGUUUGGAGUGAAGUGUUUCAAACUCUGAAAAAAAAAACAACUUCCAACCUAGACUGAUCUACCCAGAAAAACUAUCUUUCAAAAUCGAUGGAAAAAUAAGACCCUUCCAUGAUAAAUAACAACUGAAGGAAUUCAUAACUACCAAACCAACUCUACAGAAAGUGCUAAAGGAUAUUCUAGAGAGAGAUAAAGCUGACCACGGUUCCAGGAACAGCAGCAGAGGAGGAUCACCAAACAAGACAGGGGGAAACAAGAGUGAAAGGGAAAAGUGGAGGGCCAACAACAGAAGGAUAGCCGGCAGAGACAAACCAAUGUAUGCCAGUUGUAACCAUUAAUGUAGAUAGCCUCAGGUCAGCAAUGAAGAGAAAUAUGGGGAGAGUGGAUUAAGAAACAAGAUCCAUCUAUAUACUAUAUACAAGAAACACAUUUAACUGGAAAGGAAAUUCAUAGACUGAAAAUCAAAGGAGAGAAAACAAUUUUUUCCAUGUGACAGGAGACCAAAAAAAAAAGAGUAAUUUGCCCAGCAACUGCAGAAUGGAUAAGAUAUGGUAUUUUCAUACAAUGGAAAGCUACCCAGCUAUAAAGUACAAUGACCUCAAGGCUCCUGUAGGCAAGUGGACACAACAUGUUCAUGGCCAAUACAGUUUGAACUCAUGUGAACCCUAGUACAAGAAACACAAGGAGUUAAUGGGAUCCAAAAGCAAAAUAGUUAAUGUAACAGGAAAGGGAGGAAACCCCUGGGAGGGAAAAGUAGAAACUACUGUCAAUUUCUUAUUGUCUUAUAUUGAACUCUUGCACGUUUACACAAUUUUGUUAGGUUUGCUUUUGUUCUGUCUUCUUUCAUUAGAUUUUACUUUGUCUGAUGGUAUGGGCAGCUAUUUUGAAUAUAGUGGGAUAUAUUAUGAUAAUCAUGGUUUCCUAUUAUAUUGCUUUGAAGUCUUAUAAUGCUUUCAUUCCUUGGUUUGAUUGGUUUUAUUGUUUUGUUUGAUUUUAUUAUGCCUGAUGGUAUGAACAGCUAUCAUGAAGACAGCAAGUUAUAUUAAGAUAGCCAUUGUUGAUUUCCUAUUGUCCUAUUUUAAAGUUCUAUAACACUUUUACUGCUGUGUUUCAAUUGGCUUUAAUCUGUUUUGUUUUCCUUAAAAUAAAUAUGAUGAUCUCAAUUUUAAAAAUUAUGGCAAAAUUCACAGUCGUCUGAACAUCAGAUUGUCAUCUUUCCGUGAAAUGAUGGCCUUCUACUGGAUUUUUCCCACCAACAUAUAAAUAUUCUGUGAGACCUCUCACCUAGAAAAUAAAACAAGACAGCAAUUCCUAAACUCUUUACCUCCCUUCAGUAAUCUCUCCAUAUUGCUGCUUCCUUUUAUGGAAAAUUUCUUAAAAAUUUUGUCUGCAUUUUUUGUCUCCGUGUUCUCACCUCAUAGUCAUGGCAAUAAUGGUUAUUAAAAUCAUCAAUAUCCUCCUUAUUGUUAAAUUUUUAUUAUCAUACUUUAUUUUUUAGUAGUAUGUGCGUGGUAGAUAAUGUUUAUAUUCCGUGGGUGGAGUUGGUACAUAUACAUGGCACAUCCAAUUCCUUUUGUUAUUCACCUUCUUAUCUUUCCUUCACCUCUUUGCCUCUUUCUCUAUCUCUUGAUUUUCUUGCCCUAUAAACAAAAUCUAUCUCUUGAGUUCCUAUUAUCAGCUUUUAUUUUACCAUUUA